rnacentral:rRNA from 1 species
ACACUCCUGCGGGAGGCAGCAGUGGGGAAUUUUGGACAAUGGGCGAAAGCCUGAUCCAGCCAUGCCGCGUGUGUGAAGAAGGCCUUCGGGUUGUAAAGCACUUUUGUCCGGAAAGAAAUCCUUGGCUCUAAUACAGUCGGGGGAUGACGGUACCGGAAGAAUAAGCACCGGCUAACUACGUGCCAGCAGCCGCGGUAAUACGUAGGGUGCGAGCGUUAAUCGGAAUUACUAGGCGUAAAGCGUGCGCAGGCGGUUUGCUAAGACCGAUGUGAAAUCCCCGGGCUCAACCUGGGAACUGCAUUGGUGACUGGCAGGCUAGAGUAUGGCAGAGGGGGGUAGAAUUCCACGUGUAGCAGUGAAAUGCGUAGAGAUGUGGAGGAAUACCGAUGGCGAAGGCAGCCCCCUGGGCCAAUACUGACGCUCAUGCACGAAAGCGUGGGGAGCAAACAGGAUUAGAAACCCCUGUAGUCCCAUGAU